GCCCGCAUUGCAAAUGGUGGGACGGGUUAGAGGAGACAACCCACGACCCCGCCUCAACUAGCAUCCCGACGGGUUGUAAUUGCGGGUUAAGGCAGGUCAACCCGCAACACGAUGGCAAAGGGAAAAUUAAAAAAAAAAUGGUUCACGCGUGAGGCUGAGGCAGUCGCGUUUCUUUUUCUUUCUCAUUUCUCAGUCACCCACAACACCCCACCAGACAGACACAUUCUUCUUCUCUUUCUCGCGAGCUUCAAACACCAUCACACCAUACCACACUUCAUCACCUUUUGUUCGUCAAUCACCAUUGCAUUGUUAUUCAUGUUCUCUUAUCUUCUAUUUGUCGACAUUGGACGUCGUUGGUGUUGUCUUCGUCAAUGUCAUUGAUUAAGCUCUCUUCGUCAACACAUUUAGUAGCUCCUCGACCAUGGCUCACGUAGUAGAGAGAGAGUAGAAGGUAUCAAUUUGGUAUUGGUUGCUGGAGUGUGUACUGAUUCGUGUAUUUCAUGGAGGCUUUGUUCAUUUUUUGCGUGUGACAAUGAAAGUGCAGAUGAUGAAAUUGCUCACACAGAUGGAAGAUUGGAGGGGACAACAACCAUGGCUACUUCAAAUAUUCUUGACAUGGAACAACAUGAUGAAUGACUUGAUUCUUGGUGGUUGUUAAUUGGUUGAAUUAAUGUUGUAAAUUUGAACCUUAUUUCCUGCCUUUGGACUUCUACAUGUGCUUUGAUGUUUUAACUUUGAACAUUAUCUUUUAUUUGGUCAUGGAACUGUUGUUCUGAGAAAUUGUUGGUUUGAACUGCUUUAGAAGUGGAAUUGUUGUUAUGAGACAUUAUUCGACUUUUAGAAUUGUUGUAGAACUAUUGUUUUGAGAAAUUAUUGGACUUUGAACCUUAGUUCUGCCA